GAGUCUCAGCGCUAAAAAUAUAAUUUUAUCCAAUUUAUCAAUCGAUUCUCCGCAAGAGUAGAUAGUUUUCACGAAAUCUUUUUUUUUUAAUCUUUCCAAAUUAAGUUUAAAACUAAAAAGGUCAUCGAUCAAAAAAAGCAUAAAACGUUACGUGAGUGGGAACGGAAUGCAACGUCAUUUGACAAUUUGUUGCUUGUCAACAGGUAGAUAUAUUCUCGGUGUGUGCAUAAUUCUGUUCAGAUGGAGCCAGAGAUAUCCAACAUUUCUUAAAUUCGAGGAUAUUCACCCCUCCAAGGGUACUAAAUGUUGCUUUGUCUGUGCCAAAUGUUGAGGAACAAUGCUGGGAUCUUUCUGGUCCAUACAAAUUAUGUUGCCAAAGAAAAUCGAUAGAAGAUGCGGAUCGCACAGUCUCUUGCAGCUCUCAAAUACUCAGAUGGCCGAUAACACACACAUGUAUACAUACAAAAUGUAAAUA